AACGAACGCUGGCGGCAUGCCUAACACAUGCAAGUCGAACGAGACCUUCGGGGUUAGUGGCGCACGGGUGCGUAACGCGUGGGAACCUGCCCUUAGGUUCGGAAUAACUCCCCGAAAGGUGUGCUAAUACCGGAUAAUGUCUUCGGACCAAAGAUUUAUCGCCUUUGGAUGGGCCCGCGUUGGAUUAGCUAGUUGGUAGGGUAAAAGCCUACCAAGGCGACGAUCCAUAGCUGGUCUGAGAGGAUGAUCAGCCACACUGGGACUGAGACACGGCCCAGACUCCUACGGGAAGCAGCAGUGGGGAAUAUUGGACAAUGGGCGAAAGCCUGAUCCAGCAAUGCCGCGUGAGUGAUGAAGGCCUUAGGGUUGUAAAGCUCUUUUACCCGGGAUGAUAAUGACAGUACCGGGAGAAUAAGCUCCGGCUAACUCCGUG
rnacentral:rRNA from 1 species